rnacentral:rRNA from 1 species
AUUGAACGCUGGCGGCAGGCUUAACACAUGCAAGUCGAGCGGAGAUGAGGUGCUUGCACCUUAUCUUAGCGGCGGACGGGUGAGUAAUGCUUAGGAAUCUGCCUAUUAGUGGGGGACAACAUUCCGAAAGGAAUGCUAAUACCGCAUACGCCCUACGGGGGAAAGCAGGGGAUCUUCGGACCUUGCGCUAAUAGAUGAGCCUAAGUCGGAUUAGCUAGUUGGUGGGGUAAAGGCCUACCAAGGCGACGAUCUGUAGCGGGUCUGAGAGGAUGAUCCGCCACACUGGGACUGAGACACGGCCCAGACUCCUACGGGAGGCAGCAGUGGGGAAUAUUGGACAAUGGGCGGAAGCCUGAUCCAGCCAUGCCGCGUGUGUGAAGAAGGCCUUUUGGUUGUAAAGCACUUUAAGCGAGGAGGAGGCUACCUGGAUUAAUACUCUAGGAUAGUGGGCGUUACUCGCAGAAUAAGCACCGGCUAACUCUGUGCCAGCAGCCGCGGUAAUAC